UAGGGAAUCUUCCACAAUGGGCGAAAGCCUGAUGGAGCAACGCCGCGUGUGUGACGAAGGGUUUCGGCUCGUAAAACACUGUUGUAAGAGAAGAAUGACAUUGAGAGUAACUGUUCAAUGUGUGACGGUAUCUUACCAGAAAGGAACGGCUAAAUACGUGCCAA
rnacentral:rRNA from 1 species